GAUGAACGCUGGCGGCGUGCCUAAUACAUGCAAGUCGAGCGAACAGACGAGGAGCUUGCUCCUCUGACGUUAGCGGCGGACGGGUGAGUAACACGUGGAUAACCUACCUAUAAGACUGGGAUAACUUCGGGAAACCGGAGCUAAUACCGGAUAAUAUAUUGAACCGCAUGGUUCAAUAGUGAAAGACGGUUUUGCUGUCACUUAUAGAUGGAUCCGCGUCGCAUUAGCUAGUUGGUAAGGUAACGGCUUACCAAGGCAACGAUGCGUAGCCGACCUGAGAGGGUGAUCGGCCACACUGGAACUGAGACACGGUCCAGACUCCUACGGGAGGCAGCAGUAGGGAAUCUUCCGCAAUGGGCGAAAGCCUGACGGAGCAACGCCGCGGGAGUGAUGAAGGUCUUCGGAUCGUAAAACUCUGUUAUUAGGGAAGAACAAAUGUGUAAGUAACUAUGCACGUCUUGACGGUACCUAAUCAGAAAGCCACGGCUAACUACGUG
rnacentral:rRNA from 1 species